rnacentral:rRNA from 1 species
GUGAGUAAUUUUCCGCAAUGGGCGAAAGCCUGACGGAGCAAUGCCGCGUGAAGGAUGAAGGCCUAUGGGUUGUAAACUUCUUUUCUCAGAAAAGAAUUAUGACGGUAUCUGAGGAAUAAGCAUCGGCUAACUCUGUGCCAGCAGCCGCGGUAAGACAGAGGAUGCAAGCGUUAUCCGGAAUGAUUGGGCGUAAAGCGUCUGUAGGUUGUUUAAAAAGUAUUCUGUCAAAGAUUAGGGCUUAACCCUAGAUAGGCAGAAUAAACUUUUAAGCUAGAGUUUGGUAGAGGCAGAGGGAAUUCCCGGUGGAGCGGUGAAAUGCGUAGAUAUCGGGAGGAACACCAAAGGCGAAGGCACUCUGCUGGGCCAAUACUAACACUGAGAGACGAAAGCGAGGGGAGCAAAUGGGAUUAGAUACCCGUGUAGUCC